CAGUCGCCGCGGGAAUACCGAGGGUGCAAGCGUUAAUCGGAAUUACUGGGCGUAAAGCGCGCGUAGGUGGUUUGUUAAGUUGGAUGUGAAAUCCCCGGGCUCAACCUGGGAACUGCAUCCAAAACUGGCAAGCUAGAGUAUGGUAGAGGGUGGUGGAAUUUCCUGUGUAGCGGUGAAAUGCGUAGAUAUAGGAAGGAACACCAGUGGCGAAGGCGACCACCUGGACUGAUACUGACACUGAGGUGCGAAAGCGUGGGGAGCAAACAGGAUUAGAUACCCCCGUAGUCCCUGUCUCUUAUAC
rnacentral:rRNA from 1 species